UGAAUAAAUGCACUUAAUGUAAGUCUUUUAUUUUUUGUUUAGCUACCGCUUCACUUCCUAUUUCCACCAAAUGUGGGAGUCACUAAUUAUCGCUCUUAAUGCAAUAACCACAACCAGGCAACACUUAAAUGACCGUAUUCUGAAUAAGGCACAGUGGCUCACGCCUGUAAUCCCAGCACUUUGGGAGGCCGAGGCGGGUGGAUCACCUGAGGUCAGGAGAUUGAGACCAACCUGGCCAACAUGGUGAAACCCUGUCUCUACUAAAAACACAAAAAUUAGCUGGGCAUGGUGGCAGGCGCCUGUAAUCCCAGCUAUUUGGGAGGCUGAGGCAGGAGAAUCGCUUGAACCUGGGAGGUGGAGGUUGCAGUAAAUGCAAAAUGAGCUGUGUGGACCCUGAUCCACAAAGGAACCAUUUUAGGAAAAUUUAUUUCCUUUCACUACCCAUAAAAAUACAUUGCUCCUCACAAAGGAGAGACAAAAAAAAAAAUACUUUCUUCCCCUAAUAAGAUUAUUAUGAAAGGGAUAUUUUCUCUGAACUAUCAUUACUGAGUUGCGUGCUGUCAAUUUUUUAUCACGGUGUUACCACUC
rnacentral:lncRNA from 1 species